rnacentral:tRNA from 1 species
GCGUCGUUGGUCUAGUGGUUAGGAUUAUCGCCUUCCAUUCAUUAAGUAGUUCGUGGCAAUCCCGAGCGAAGGACUCGAAUAGCGAUAGGGCGGGGUUCGAUUCCCCGACGACGCA